rnacentral:rRNA from 1 species
AUACAUGCAAGUCGAACGCGUUGGCCCAAUUGAUUGAUGGUGCUUGCACCUGAUUGAUUUUGGUCGCCAACGAGUGGCGGACGGGUGAGUAACACGUAGGUAACCUGCCCAGAAGCGGGGGACAACAUUUGGAAACAGAUGCUAAUACCGCAUAACAGCGUUGUUCGCAUGAACAACGCUUAAAAGAUGGCUUCUCGCUAUCACUUCUGGAUGGACCUGCGGUGCAUUAGCUUGUUGGUGGGGUAACGGCCUACCAAGGCGAUGAUGCAUAGCCGAGUUGAGAGACUGAUCGGCCACAAUGGGACUGAGACACGGCCCAUACUCCUACGGGAGGCAGCAGUAGGGAAUCUUCCACAAUGGGCGCAAGCCUGAUGGAGCAACACCGCGUGAGUGAAGAAGGGUUUCGGCUCGUAAAGCUCUGUUGUUAAAGAAGAACACGUAUGAGAGUAACUGUUCAUACGUUGACGGUAUUUAACCAGAAAGUCACGGCUAACUACGUGCCAGCAGCCGCGGUAAUACGUAGGUGGCAAGCGUUAUCCGGAUUUAUUGGGCGUAAAGAGAGUGCAGGCGGUUUUCUAAGUCUGAUGUGAAAGCCUUCGGCUUAACCGGAGAAGUGCAUCGGAAACUGGAUAACUUGAGUGCAGAAGAGGGUAGUGGAACUCCAUGUGUAGCGGUGGAAUGCGUAGAUAUAUGGAAGAACACCAGUGGCGAAGGCGGCUACCUGGUCUGCAACUGACGCUGAGACUCGAAAGCAUGGGUAGCGAACAGGAUUAGAUACCCUGGUAGUCCAUGCCGUAAACGAUGAGUGCUAGGUGUUGGAGGGUUUCCGCCCUUCAGUGCCGGAGCUAACGCAUUAAGCACUCCGCCUGGGGAGUACGACCGCAAGGUUGAAACUCAAAGGAAUUGACGGGGGCCCGCACAAGCGGUGGAGCAUGUGGUUUAAUUCGAAGCUACGCGAAGAACCUUACCAGGUCUUGACAUCUUGCGCCAACCCUAGAGAUAGGGCGUUUCCUUCGGGAACGCAAUGACAGGUGGUGCAUGGUCGUCGUCAGCUCGUGUCGUGAGAUGUUGGGUUAAGUCCCGCAACGAGCGCAACCCUUGUUACUAGUUGCCAGCAUUAAGUUGGGCACUCUAGUGAGACUGCCGGUGACAAACCGGAGGAAGGUGGGGACGACGUCAGAUCAUCAUGCCCCUUAUGACCUGGGCUACACACGUGCUACAAUGGACGGUACAACGAGUCGCGAACUCGCGAGGGCAAGCAAAUCUCUUAAAACCGUUCUCAGUUCGGACUGCAGGCUGCAACUCGCCUGCACGAAGUCGGAAUCGCUAGUAAUCGCGGAUCAGCAUGCCGCGGUGAAUACGUUCCCGGGCCUUGUACACACCGCCCGUCACACGCAUGAGAGUUUGUAACACCCAAAGUCGGUGGGGUAACCUUUUAGGAGCCAGCCG